ensembl:lncRNA
GGGACAGCCUGUAACAUGGUAACAACGGGGGGUUGAUGUGGGACAGCCUGUAACGUGGUAACAACAGGGGAUUGAUGUGGGACAGCCUGAAACGUGGUAACAACAGGGGAUUGAUCAGAGGGGUUUAUGAAGCUCAUGGGGUGAUGGCUCCUGAUGUCCUGUGCCUUUUAUCUGUCAUGGACAGCAGGCUACCAAAUGGCUCUCACACAGAGGUAGAUGUGGUCGACACACACAGUUGUCAUUGUACUAAACACAACUUGUCCUGUGAUGAGGUGCCAUUGUAAGGGGGAUGGCACUGCUGGAUUACAGUUAAGGACAAUGCAGCUACUUUUUACACACUUUCUCUCUCUCUCACAUUCCUACUAAAGUAUUAAAUCUGAUUCAUAGUGCUCAGGACUAAAUUGUACCAUAUUACACAACUUGAUUACUAGCUGGGACCACAGUAGUUGUAGACUCCCCAUGUUUUAUAUACAUACUAGUUCCUGUACUGAACAGACAUGUUUAAUUUAAUAUUCCUACAUUUUAUGUUGUUUGGUUUUGGUUGCAGAGCAACUCUGUACAUGUUUUGACAUUUAAUCUUAAAUGGGACAUACAGUUCCCUCGAUUGUGAAUAAACUUCGAUAGGCGACAACAAGGUGUCGCAUGUGAAAAUGUACAUGACAAGCCUCCCCAUAUUAACUCACUGGAAAUAGAAUGGUUAAUCUGUUAAUGUACAUACAUUUUGUUUGUUGAUAUUUAAAUAUAAAAGAGUUAAUAACCUUGGCAGUAACUGUCUCAAUCAGGGCUGGGGUCAAUUUCAAUUGAAGGCAGUCAAUUCAGGAAGUGAUUUUAAUUUAAAAUAAGAAAAUAUAAAAUGUUUGAAAUAGCUUUUAUUCCUCAUUUUAUUGAGAAGUCAUUGACAAUAGAAGCUGUUUUUUCCUAAACUUUUUUGUUAUUUAAGUUAACUUCAAUUCAAAUUUACCUCAGCCCUUUACCCUGCAUUGUGGUAAAGUGCGGUUGCCAUAUUGUGUUUUAGCUGGUGUUCAGUGUGUAUGUAGACUAGUAGAGAAUCUAUUCCAUUCACGCUCAUUGACUGUGGAUCAGUACAUUGACUCUAACCUAUUCUGCA